rnacentral:tRNA from 1 species
GCAUGUAGCUCAGUGGUAGAGCGCCGCCCUUAUAAGACGGUGGUCGAAGGUUCAAUCCCUUCCAUGCCCACACCA